UACGUAGGGGGCUAGCGUUGUCCGGAUUUAUUGGGCGUAAAGCGCGUGUAGGCGGCCAGGUAGGUCCGCUGUGAAAACUCGAGGCUCAACCUCGAGAUGUCGGCGGAAACCAUCUGGCUAGAGUCCGGAAGAGGAGAGUGGAAUUCCCGGUGUAGCGGUGAAAUGCGUAGAUAUCGGGGGGAACACCAGUGGCGAAGGCGGCUCUCUGGGGUGCACCUGACGCUGAUGCGCGAAGGUCAGGGGAGCAAACGGG
rnacentral:rRNA from 1 species